GAUGAACGCUGGCGGCGUGCCUAAUACAUGCAAGUCGAGCGAACAGACGAGGAGCUUGCUCCUCUGACGUUAGCGGCGGACGGGUGAGUAACACGUGGAUAACCUACCUAUAAGACUGGGAUAACUUCGGGAAACCGGAGCUAAUACCGGAUAAUAUAUUGAACCGCAUGGUUCAAUAGUGAAAGACGGUUUUGCUGUUACUUAUAGAUGGAUCCGCGCCGCAUUAGCUAGUUGGUAAGGUAACGGCUUACCAAGGCAACGAUGCGUAGCCGACCUGAGAGGGUGAUCAGCCACACUGGAACUGAGACACGGUCCAGACUCCUACGGGAGGCAGCAGUAGGGAAUCUUCCGCAAUGGGCGAAAGCCUGACGGAGCAACGCCGCGUGAGUGAUGAAGGUCUUCGGAUCGUAAAACUCUGUUAUUAGGGAAGAACAAAUGUGUAAGAAACUAUGCACGUCUUGACGGUACCUAAUCAGAAAGCCACGGCUAACUACGUG
rnacentral:rRNA from 1 species